GUCUUUAUGAAGAUAUAUACAGUCUGGCCUGCCCACUGAAUUUUGAAGGGCCGCGGUAUUUCUGACCGUGCGAAGGUAGCAUAAUCAUUAGUCUUUUAAUUUGAGGCUUGUAUGAAAGGUCGGACGAGGGAUAAACUGUUUCAAAUAAAAAACUCGAAUUUAACUUUUAAGUGAAAAGGCUUAAAUAAUUCAAAAAGACGAUAAGACCCUAUAAAUCUUAACAUUAGAUUUUGUGCAAUUCUAAUCCAUUAGUACAAAGAAACGCACAAUUUUCAAUGUUGUAUUGGGGCAAUAAAGAUAUAAAAAACGUAACUGUUUCAACAUUAAAACAAAAAUAAUUGAAGUUAUUAGAUCCUACGUAAAGAUUCAAAGAUCAAGUUACUUUAGGGAUAACAGCGUCAUUCUUUUUGAGAGUCCUCAUCGAAAAAAGAGUUUGCGACCUCGAUGUUGAAUUAGAAGAUCUUUAUGGUGCAGCAGCUAUUAAAGAAAGUCUGUUCGACUUUUAAACUUCU
rnacentral:rRNA from 1 species